AAAGAACAUUUGCUCAUUGUGAUUAUGGGAUAUGGAUGAGGAUGAUGUUUGGAUUUUCUUUUCCUCUUUAGGCUAUCGCAGACGCUGGACAGUGACUCCACUGCCGUGGUUGGUCCAUUUGUUCCUUGGACGAGGCAUCUCUCCCUCUCCAAACAAAAUGGAUCGCAGAAGGCCAGGAGCUGAGACCAAUACGCUGUAUACAGCUUUCGUCAGAGAUGAGCAAGAGAAUCAAUGCCUGCUCACCAAAUGUUUGUUCAAUUGCCAAAGAGACGGAUUAGGUCCCACGCACGCAUGACAGACAAAGCAAACACGUAGAAUCCCUUUCUUUUCCUUAACUUUCCCUUCCCUUCCCUUCCUCAGACUUCCCCUUCUCAAUAAAUAAUUCUAAAAGUUGUUCAAGUAAACCCUCCUUGCAAUUUUUUUUAUCACCUUUUUACGUCCACCCCUAACAGAGACACAAACUAACUCUUACAUAUAUAUUAUCAUAUAUGCUUGCCGGCGAUGCCCACGCUGGUCAGCUUAGCUAGGCAAUUUUUAACGGACGAGGCUGCGCGUGUUCUCGACGAUGCUGUUGCCGUAGCGCGUCGCCGGAGCCACGCCCAGACUACUUCUCUCCAUGCGGUUUCUGCUUUGCUAGCUUUGCCGUCUUCUAUACUCCGUGACGCUUGUGCACGCUCCAGAAACAGUGCUUGUUCGUCGCGCCUUCAGUUUGGCGCGCUCGAGCUUUGCGUUGGUGUCUCUCUUGAUCGCUUGCCUUCUUCGAAAACCGCAGAUGAACCUCCAAUCUCGAAUUCACUUAUGGCGGCAAUCAAACGGUCGCAGGCCAAUCAGCGGAGGCACUCUGAUAAUUUUCAGUUGCAGCAAAUACACUGUAACCAGCAACCAGCGUCGGUUUUGAAGGUCGAGCUUAAGCACUUUAUUUUAUCAAUUAUGGAUGAUCCGAUUGUGAGUCGGGUAUUUGGGGAGGCCGGGUUUCGGAGUUGUGAUAUUAAGUUAGCCGUUAUUCACCCGCCGGUGACACAUGCUUCGAAUUUCUCGCGGACAAGGUGCCCGCCGGUUUUCCUUUGUAAUUUGACUGGUUCGGAACUUGGUCGACCCGAUUCGAGCUUCCCGUCUAGUGGGCGCGAGGAUGGGGAAGAGAAUUGUAGGAGAAUUGCUGAGGCUUUAGUGAAGGGGAAGAAUCUGUUGCUUCUUGGUGCUUGUGCUAGUGAUGCGUUAAAUAGAUUUAUCGAAUGUGUAAAUACAGAUGGAGGAGGAAUUUUGCCCACCGAGAUUGCUGGGUUAAGCGUAAUAUCUGUUGAAAAGGAGAUAAUUGAGUUCCUUAGUGAAGGAGGGAACAAUAGAGAGAAGAUGGAUUUCAAGGUUGAGGAGUUGCGGCAUAAACUGGAGCAGUGUUCGGGCCCAGGUAUUGUGUUGAGUUUUGGAGAGCUGAAGGCUUUGGUCGACGAGAAGCUGUCCAGUGGUGCUUUGAGUUACUUGGUUUCGAAAUUAACGGGUUUAUUGGAGGGUUUUAAAGACAAGUUGCGGAUGAUGGGAGCUACGGCAGUAUAUGAAACGUAUUCCAAAUUUUUAGGGGAAUUUCCAGCUAUAGAAAAGGAUUGGGAUCUUCAUAUUCUGCCCAUCACUUCUUCUAAAAGCCCUAUUGAUUGUUUUGGCUCCAAAUCUAGCUUGAUGGGGUCUUUUGUUCCAUUUGGUGGUUUCUUCUCUACACCAUCUGAUCUCAAAUAUCCGUUAUGCAACGUAGCUCAAUCCAUCACUCAAUGUCAUCUUUGCACUGCAAAGUAUGAGCAAGAAGUUACUGCAAUGCUGAAGGGUUCUACGGUUUCAAUUGCAGAUCAGUACUCAGAGAACUUACCUUCUUGGUUACAGAUGGCUCAGCUUGACACAGGCAAGGGAUUGGAUGUAGCUAAGUGCAGACCAAAAAUGAUGGAACAACACUGAAUGCUAGAAUUUUGGGGCUGCAAAGGAAAUGGAGUGAUAUCUGCCAACGAAUUCAUCGUGCUCAGCCUUUCUCCAAAUUUGAUGUUUCCCAGGGCAGGGCCCAGGCAUUAGUUUUGGAGGGCUUUCAAUAUGUUGCAGAUAGGAAGGAAAGCAGCAGUGGUAGCUGCAGCAGAGAUUCACUACUUAAUGAGAGUCAAUGUGCAAAUCUUAGUCUUGGUGUUCAUAUGGAUUUGCAAAAUGAUUUUCCAAAGAGAAAUAGCAUCCCAAUAACAGUAGAUUCUGAAACUGAGAAUGUCAAUUGCCAAUCUAAGCUAAUCAAAGAAGCAUCAAAAAGUCAGCAAAAAGAGAAAGAUAGUCCUUGGUUUACCCCUUUCACUUUGCCCCAUAUGAGUCUGCCUGCUGACCACACAUCAUCUUCAUCUGUUACUUCUGUGACCACAGAUUUGGGGUUAGGAAUACUUUAUGCAUCGAGUUCCCAGGAGACGAAUACUCCAAAAUUGUGUGAUCGUGGAGAACAUUUUCAACAAUUCUCAGGUUUUAAUACUUUUGAAUUUGGAGUUGGUGAGAGUACUUCACGUCAGAUCUUACAAUCUUCAUGUUCUAAUCCUUCUUCAGGAGGUCAUUUUGAUUCAAGGGAUUACAAGUCAAUCAGGAAAGCUCUUAUUGAAAAAGUUGGGUGGCAAGAGGAUGCCAUAUGUUCUAUUAGUCAAGCCAUAACUCGUUGCAAAGCAGGAUAUGGAAGACGCCGGGGCUCAACUGCGAGAGGAGAUAUUUGGCUUAGUUUCAUUGGACCUGACAAAGUUGGAAAGAAAAGAAUUGCUUCCACGCUUGCUGAGAUAAUUUUUGGUAGCCAAGAAAACCUAGUCUCCGUUGAUUUGAGCUUCCAUGGUGGGGUUAGGCCGUCAAACUCUGUCUUUGAAUGCCAAGAGUUUAAUGACUACGAUGUGAAAUUUAGGGGGAAGACAAUUGUUGAUUAUAUUGCAAUGGAGCUGAGCAAGAAGCCCCAUUCUGUCGUAUUCCUGGAAAACGUAGAGAAGGCCGAUUGUCUGGCGCAGACUAGCUUGUCCCAGGCUGUGAGAACAGGUAAAUUUCCAGAUUCACAUGGGAGAGAAAUCAGCAUCAACAAUAUGAUUUUUGUGACAACAUCAACAAUUGCAAUGGGUAAUAUAAAGUUUCAGCCACAGAAGGAACCUAUUAAGUUAUCUGAAGAAAACAUUCUUCGAGCCAAAAGCUGGCAAAUGCGAAUGUUAACUGAACCUGUUGCUGAGUGUGCCAGCUUAAGCAGUGAAAUGAAUGUGAAGAUUUCAAGAAAAGUAACCUCCAGUGCGUCAUUUGAGAAUAAAAGAAAACUGGAUGGAAUCACCAAAUCUGCAGAAGAGGAAUUCAGUUACGAGGCUAAGAAACGGGCACAUAAAGUGUUGGGAUCCUCUCUGGAUUUGAAUCUCCCUGUGGAGGAGACUGAAGACAACACCAAUUCUGGUAGUUGUGACAGUGAUUCCAUCUCUGAAAACUCAACUUGGUUGGAAAAUUUCAUUGAACAAGUGGAUGAAAAGGUAUUAUUCAAGUCAUUUGAUUUUGAUGCUCUUUGUGAGAAAAUAGGGAGGAAAAUCAGUGUACAAGUUCAGAGGGCAUUUGGAUCUGAGAUUUUACUGGAGAUUGAUGAUGAAGUCAUGAUGCAAAUAACUGCAGCUUCUUGGUUAUGCACCAGAAGCAGAGCAAUGGAGGACUGGAUCGAAAGCGUCCUCGGUAGGGGCUGCAGUGAAGCCCGGCAGAAGUACCACAGUAAUGCUCAGUAUGUUGUAAAACUAGUUUCUUGUAAAGGCCUUUUGGUGGAUGAGCGAGCUCCUGGAAUAUGUCUACCUUCCAGAAUUAAUCUGUAAACUGAUUUUUCUUGCUUACCAAUGUUUCUUGUAAAAUAUAUGUAUAAUGUAGCAUUUAGCAUAUAGCUUCAGCACAUGAAAUGCGUUUUUUGGUUAAUUAAAGCCAUAAAGUUUUAGGGUAUUUGUUGUCCUGUUGUAUUGAAUGUAAGUAUCUAAAAAAAAGGGAAAAAAAAGUGGGAAGAAUCUAUAAUUUUUUUCUAAUUGGGCAAGUUCUAGGGUCCUUCAGUCUCUGCUUUGCCAUGAAAAUGGACACUGCAAGUUUUGAGGCUGAAUGAGAAGUCUCUGUUGUUGGUCAGAAGUGGAAAGGAGAUUGUGAAGUUUGCUUUUGUUGUGCACUUUGGAAGCGUGUAAACCAAUCUCAUUCAUUAAUUGAAGAGAUGAUUCUUUAUGCUAUCAUUGAACGUAUUCCUCAAUGUCUAAGCUCUAUGAUGUUGCUUUUAGUAUUUUAUUCAAACUAAUAUUGCUUUUCUCCUUCCUAGUUUCUUAAUGUAAG
rnacentral:misc_RNA from 1 species